GGCUCAGAUCUGACACAGUAACUAAUGAAGAAUUUGAUCUUCAUUGGCGAAAAUGUGUCAAGUAUCGAUUUCGUCAAAUCAAGGAAGCAAAAUGCACUUCUGAAAUAUUCAACUUAUGGCCAGAAUACAAAAAGGCCUCUGCCAGUCAUCUUAUUAAUAUAGAUUUUAAUUUCAAAUAUCCCAUAGCUAAAGAAUUUACCGAUAGAUGGUCACAAUAUGGCGAUACUGUAAUAAACCUGCUUAAAGCAAAAGCUCCCUCCGCAUUUGUUUUAAAGCGGUUGCUUGAGGUUGAAGCAAGUGACGAAGAAUCUAAAUUGCUAACUUCAUUGUGGAAUUUGCAUCACCUGUUUCCCCCCAUCAGAAGGUCAAAACAGAUACAAAUGGUGCCAAUUUU